UACAGAGGGUGCAAGCGUUAAUCGGAAUUACUGGGCGUAAAGCGUGCGCAGGCGGUUGCGUAAGUCAGAUGUGAAAGCCCCGGGCUCAACCUGGGAAUUGCAUUUGAGACUGCGUAGCUAGGGUGCGGAAGAGGGAAGCGGAAUUUCCGGUGUAGCGGUGAAAUGCGUAGAGAUCGGGAGGAACACCAGAGGCGAAGGCGCCUAGCUGGACAGAUACUGACACUCAACAACGAAAGCGUGGGGAGCAAACAGG
rnacentral:rRNA from 1 species